rnacentral:rRNA from 1 species
AGUAACGCGUGAGGAGCCUGCCUCAAAGAGGGGGACAACAGUUGGAAACGACUGCUAAUACCGCAUAAGCCCACGGCUCGGCAUCGAGCAGAGGGAAAAGGAGUGAUCCGCUUUGAGAUGGCCUCGCGUCCGAUUAGCUAGUUGGUGAGGUAACGGCCCACCAAGGCGACGAUCGGUAGCCGGACUGAGAGGUUGAACGGCCACAUUGGGACUGAGACACGGCCCAG